AGAAGUUCAGGUGUGUGGUUGAUGACUGUGAAGAUGGCAGACUGAAAAAAGGACUACAGUUGGAAGCAGCUAUUCUGCUCUUGCCUGCACUGUUUAAGGAGGACCCGGGGUUGCUGUUUGAAGUUGAGGGCCAUGCUCAGACCUGCCCUCCUGACACACCAACACCUAAAAUGGUGCUCAAAGGCUGCAGGGAGGGUAAUCCCAUGCAAUACGACCACAUUGUCGUCAUGUUGGAUGGCCAGUCCAUUACUGAGGAGAGUGAGGACAUCUCAAUGGCACUGGGCCUCAUCCUUUGCACAUAUUUUCUGUUUGGGAUCCAAUAUCCUAAAGGACUGAAAAAGACACUGACCUUCCUGGAGUGCAUUGUCUUAAAAAUGAAGGAUGCAGCCGGACUUCCCGUCACAAUUAAAAGAGUGUACAGCUCAAUCUGUGCAUAGAGUCUCUCUGUCUCUCUCUCAUAUUCCAUUUUCUAUUUUUUCAGCCAGUGUUGUUAGUUAAAAAGCACUGAUUAUAUUUGCAACUAAAAUAAAUGAAUUAAACUGUUAAAA